rnacentral:lncRNA from 12 species
UCACUUUUUGCAGGUUAUUGCCUAUACAUAUUCUAGAGAACAAGCUGCAGGAAGGCUGGAAUAGGAAGAUACCAAGACACCACUCCACGGUAGCUACAGGUAAAACACUGGCACUGUCCUGAAUCCUGCUCCCAGCUAACGUCUCUGAUUCUCUGUGUGCAGCCGUGUGUAUGCCUGACUUGUGAAGUUAUUAAUCAAAG